GGGAAUAUAGUUAUUAUCUAUGAUUAGAAGCUCAAAUGCUACAUAAUAUUAACAUUCUCAUGUUUCUCUUGAAUAAUACAAAUACAAAACUGCUAUCCUUUUAGAAACCAGUACCAUUACUGGAAUACGAGGGGGAAAACUGCAAGUUGAAAUUCUGCAGCAGCUAUAUUUGCUUCUGUUUAACGUGAAAAGAAAUGCAAAAGAAACAAAUUUAAAGGAGAGCAUGAUGCCUUUAAAAUCACUCCAAAUAUUACCAAAAUUAUAAAUGCAUUCAUAUUGGAGGACUCCAUGAAGGUCAAUGUCUUUCCAUUUCAACAAGUUUCUAGCGUGCAGCAUGCCAGCAUCAUAGCCAAAAUGAUGCUUCUAGAAGAGUAAGAUUAUGUUUCUGGAGCUUUUCUCUUGCGAUCAGAUGCUGAUGUAUUAUCUGAUUGGGCCUGACCAAAUACUGACCCACAGGUUGAACAUUUUUUAUGAUGUUUACAAAAUAUGGACAAGCAUACAGAACAUAUGUAGCCCAUGUCAAUCGUAGUUUUAUGGCAAAAACACGAUGCUCGGAAAUCCACACCGGCAGGCCUAGGAAGUUGUAUGAAGUUACGAGAAUGCAAGUCAGCUGCAAACACAGUCACUAAGUAUUGAAACAGCCCAUCCAAAUGUUGAGGUUUUACAUACACACCUCCAGUUAUAUAAGAAGCCUGCUGCAGAAAGGCUGAAUUAUGAGCACCAACAUAACAAGAGUCUAUAGGCACCAUAGAGCGUUGGGCAGAGAAUAUUGCAUUCAUUACCGCAACAUAUUGUUCUGGUCCAUCUGGAGAUCCCUGCAAACACAAAAUUCGAGGCUGAGGAUUGAGUGAUCCCGAGCGAAAAACCCGUUGUAUAUAACAAAGCGCCAUGGACAAUGACCCCGAGAGCAACGAAGACGCAAUCUUUCCUCGAGGCUCCUCCUUCGCCAACUUUUCAUCUCUGAUUAUGAACUCCUCCAAUUUCUGCAACAAAUUGGAGUAUAAAGCAGGCAAUCUCCCAUCCUCAGAGCUCUGAUUUGUAGCCGAAGACGAAUCAUAAAUAUAGUCGCAAGAAUUAUACCCAGUAGCAAUCACUACGACUUGGUUCAGUUGAUUGAGCAGUAAAAUCGAGUUCAAAAACGCAAGAACCUGAGAGAGAAAUUGGGAAAAUGGGAGGGAAGAAGUGGUCCAGAAGAAUGGAUUGGUGUCUAACAACACCAUCACAAGGCUAACAUCAUCAGAGUAGAGCUUUGAAGGAACUGAAGCCAUGAGGAUUUCUUUUCCUUCUCUUUUAUUUGGCAAAAGUAUUUGUAAUUGGAGGGAAAGAAUUAGAAUUAGAAUGAGAAUUCACGUCAGUUGCUG
rnacentral:misc_RNA from 1 species